rnacentral:snoRNA from 1 species
UGCAAAUGAUGUUUUCUCACGAUGGUCUUCCAAGCCCCAUGGGUUCUGACGAUACUGCCUAAAGGCAACACUGAUGUAGUAAA